GUGGGGAAUAUUGGACAAUGGGCGAAAGCCUGAUCCAGCCAUGCCGCGUGUGUGAAGAAGGUCUUCGGAUUGUAAAGCACUUUAAGUUGGGAGGAAGGGCAGUAAGUUAAUACCUUGCUGUUUUGACGUUACCGACAGAAUAAGCACCGGCUAACUUCGUGCCAGCAGCCGCGGUAAUACGAAGGGUGCAAGCGUUAAUCGGAAUUACUGGGCUUAAAGCGCGCGUAGGUGGUUUUGUAAGUUGGAGGUGAAAUCCCCGGGCUCAACCUGGGAACUGCCUCCAAAACUGCAUGACUAGAGUACGGUAGAGGGUAGUGGAAUUUCCUGUGUAGCGGUGAAAUGCGUAGAUAUAGGAAGGAACACCAGUGGCGAAGGCGACUACCUGGACUGAUACUGACACUGAGGUGCGAAAGCGUGGGGAGCAAACAGGAUUAGAUACCCCGGUAGUCC
rnacentral:rRNA from 1 species